UGCUACUCCCAAUCCCACCAUUCCUUUCCUUCUGCGCCAACGUCACUCACAGUUUCGAGGCUUUAGACCGUCCAAAAGAAGCCAACUCUUGCUUGUACCUUCUCUUCCCCUCUCUCUCUCAUCUCUCAUCUCUCUGAUCAUUUCCAUUAUCAGAAAAGAAAAAAAAAUUUAUAUACCCUCUUUAUCAUAUUCCGUCCUGCUCUUCUACCUAACCAAUUGCAUUCCCUAUUCGUUUAGCUGAUAGGUAUAUAUAUUAAUAUUUUUGGGGUUUUUACUGUUCAGAUUGAUAAUGAUGAGGAUGGAAAGAGGGGGCAGAAGUUUUUUCUUUUUCUUUUUCUUUUUCUAAUUCUUUUGGUUGCUAAAUUUGGUGAAACUUCUGGGUUUUUGCUGCUGAGAUUGAAAACAUCAUUUUCUGGAUAGUUCGAUUAAGUAUAAAUGUGAAAUGCUUGCUUUUUCUAUGGAAUUUCGCAAAGAUUCUUUUCUUUCUUUUUGCUUUUUCUUUUCUCCUUUUUCUUAUCUGCGCCAUUUAAGUUUCCUCGGGAAAUUGGAAGCUGAAAAAACUGUCGUUUAACAUCCGUCGAUUUUCCCCUGCAGGAAAAUCAUAAAUAGUAGGGGAAGCACAGGCAGAGCUAACGGUAGUUUUCUUUUUUUUCUGUCUUUUAUUUUUUACCCGUCUAUGGAUAAAAAUACUAGAAAGAUAAGAACUGGGUUCAUUGUAUUUUAUUGAUAGAUUUUAGUCUGCAUGUAGAUUGACCAUUGAUUUUUUUAUUUCCAAAGAACAAUUUUUUAGAAGAUGGGUGUUUGGAAAAGCUGUUAAUAAUUGAUCUAUUUUGGGUUCUUUAUUUUUCUUUUUCCUCUGUUUUCUAUGGAACAGAUAUAUUGAUGAAUGGAUGUGGGUCUUAUUCAGGGGCCUACUUCUCUGAUUUAGCCCAAACAAAUUCGAUUUCAAUUAUUGCAGUUGAAGGUUUCUUAGUACGGAUCUCACUUUGAUGGUAAAAGGUGAAACAUUUCCUCUACUCACAGUUAGUUCUUGCUCCAUAAAAUUGGGGAGAGAGAAAGAUAAAGAGAGAUUGCUGUUAGAUGAGUUUCCUAAAUAACGGUAAAAAAAAAUUCUUGUGGUAAUUUGACCAAAAAGUAGAUGUGUUGCAGGGAAUUGGGGAACAGUUUCACUCAGAUUAAAAAAAGUGAGAUUUGCUUUUUUAUGAUAUGAAUGGUGGAGAAACUUUUUAGGUAGCAAGUUAUAGAGUAAGGAAUGUUUUUAUAUCAAUAUCUUUAGGUCCUGGGAUUCUGCAAGAUCACGUUUCAACGUUACUGGAUUGAAAAAGUCUUGACUAAUUGGUUUUGGUUGGAUGUAUCUGUUUAUGGAGAUUGGGAUGGAAGAGUUCUUGUUUGCAACAGAGUUUGCUUGGUUGGAAAGCGAGAUUCUUUCGUUAGAUUGAUUUUAUGUAGUUAAUAGUUCUGUCUGGUUGCUCUGUUUGAACUCUUGGAGCUGUAGAGGUUGCUGAAUUUGAGCACUUCAUCAACUGGGACUGUUUCUGCAGUAUCUGAACAGCCAGAUCGGAUUUUCUUCCACGGGGGAUUGGAUAUUGGCUCGCCUAAUUCAGUUAAACAGAUAUGGCCAACCCCUUUUAAUUCAGUGAAUUUCAGAGGAUCUGGGAUCUGGUUGUUUCUCAUUAAAAACUGAGUGCAACUGGUGAAGUUUAUUCUAUGAGUUCCCUCUCACUGAUGGAGUUGAACACGAAAACCCCCAUUCAGUGGGACUGGGAGAACCUGAUAAUGUUUAAUACAACUGAACAUCCAAAGAAAUUACGAUGGACAGAGUGGGAAAUUGAUGGAGAUAGAGGAAUUGAUUCUGGGUCGUUAUACUCUUCUGGUAGUGGAAGUGGUUGUGGUGGUUCUGGUUCUGAUUUGGGACUUGCUUCUUUAUCAAAGAGCUCAAAGUCAGCUUCCAUAAAUUCUUCAUCAGUUGGGGAAGUGAAAACAUCCAAAUUUACUUUGGAGGUUUCUGAAGCAAUUCCAGAAGAUUCCAACAAUAAGAAAGCACUUACAAAGGCAAAGCCAACUGGUACUUUUACUCUUGAGGCUUCAGUCGGCUCAGGUGAGCUGCUAGGCUUAAAGCUAGGUAAACGGACAUACUUUGAAGAUGUUUGUGCAGGCAACAAUGCUAAGACUUCAGCAUCCUCUGUGAUUCCUGGAUCUUCUCUUUCUCCUGCAAAGAGAUCCAAGUCCAAUGGUCAGGCUUCACCUGCCCCACGCUGUCAAGUAGAAGGCUGUAACCUUGACCUCUCAUCAGCUAAAGAUUAUCAUCGGAAACAUAGAGUUUGUGAAAGUCAUUCAAAAGCCCCAAAGGUCAUUGUAGCUGGUUUGGAACGCAGGUUUUGCCAGCAGUGUAGCAGGUUUCAUGGGCUGUCAGAGUUCGACGAAAAGAAGCGAAGCUGCCGCAGGCGUCUUUCUGAUCACAAUGCAAGGCGCCGUAAGCCGCAGCCCGAACCCAUCCAAUUGAAUCCUGCGAGGCUGUCUCCAUCGUUGUAUGAUGAGAGGCAACAGAUGAGUUUUGUUUGGAACAGUGUCCCACUUGUUCAUUCCAGGCCUAAUGCGAAUUUGACAUGGGAAGGCACAUCCAGCUCUAAGUUCACAAUAACAAAGGAGUAUGUAAUGAAGCCUCCAAAAGUAGGAUGUAUUGACAGACAGCUGCAUUUGCCUGGUAAUAAGCUGACAAGUUCCAUUCCUAUGCAUUCUCAUGAUUCCAAGUGCUUGUUGCCAUCCAGAUCCAAGGUCACCACAGCUGAGGUUAUCAGCCAAGGUUUAGAAGAAUCAAUUAUCUCACCCAAUGUGGAUGCGACUCAGGAUCUUCAUCGUGCUCUCUCUCUUCUGUCAACUAAUUCAUGGGGUUCAUGUGAGCAAAAAUCUGUGUCACAUGAGCAGCCUGCUCACGCAAGUCACACAGGCAUGCCACAGUUCAUGCCGCAUGUCAUGCCCCAAGGCAUGCCACUUGCCUCAUCAGAUUACUGGAGGACUGAACAGACUACUGACUCUCGAGUGCAUAACUUGGCUACUAACAACGAUAACAGCAGUUACUUUCAAGAGUUCCAGAUGUUAAGAGCCCCAUAUGAUAGUGAAUUCUACUCUAGUCAGUUAAACUGACUGCUCAAAAUCAAUCAUCAUUUUCAAAUUGAUGAGUUCACUUGCUAAGGUCUUGUUAAAAGGGCAUAUUGCAAAGCUGCUAAUGUCCAUCUGAGCAAGAAAUGCAGGACUCUAAUGCUUUAAAGGAGGUUGCAUGUUAAUUUUGCUACAGGUGGUUCUUCAUCUUCAAAGCGAUUGGUUUUGCAUGCACGAUAGGUACGUACGUUAUGGCCACCUUGGUGCAAGCAGUCAUGUUCAUAAAAACAGGAAAGUACACUUCUUUCACGCAUUUGGUCGAGCAUCUUGAGAGCACAGUGGUGGUUGAAACAAUCAGAAGUUAAUUAUUUAAACCAAAAUUAAAAGAAUUUAUUUACUUAAAAAAAUUUAGGUCCCACCACCACAUCUUGAGUUCAUAGUUACCAUAUUAUAUAAAACCAAAACAACUUGAAUUAAGAAAAAUUUAGAGAUGGCUGACGCUAUCGAAGCCACAAUUUCUUAGCAAAUUAUUUAAAUUCUGCUCUCAAGCUGUCCGACCAACUGCUUGAAAGCUCUAAUCCUUGUUAGGAUGUACAGUUUCAUUUCGGAACGAUUUUUAUAAAAAUUAAAAUUAAAAAGUUGAUUUUUUAAAAU